rnacentral:rRNA from 1 species
GACGAACGCUGGCGGCGUGCUUAACACAUGCAAGUCGAACGGAAAGGCCCUGCUCUUGCGGGGUGCUCGAGUGGCGAACGGGUGAGUAACACGUGAGUAACCUGCCCUUGACUUUGGGAUAACUUCAGGAAACUGGGGCUAAUACCGGAUAGGUGCUCCUGCUGCAUGGUGGGGGUUGGAAAGUUUCGGCGGUUGGGGAUGGACUCCCGGGUUAUCAGCUUGUUGGUGGGGUAGUGGCUUACCAAGGCUUUGACGGAUAGCCGGCCUGGGCGGGUGGCCAGCCACAAGACGCCUGAGGGACGGACCAGACGCCUACGGGAGGCAACGGGGGGGAAUAUUACACAAUGGGCGGAAGCCUGAUGCGGCAACGCCGCGUGCGGGAUGACGGCCUUCGGGUUGUGAACCGCUUUCGCCUGUGACGAAGCGUGAGUGACGGUAAUGGGUAAAGAAGCACCGGCUAACUACGUG